GGAGGGCCAGUGCCCUUCACAUGCCCGGCCACCCUCUCGGCCUCUGUCAUCAGCAUGGCCAGGACUCCAGGGCCAGGCUCCACUCAGUGGGGGUUGGGGGGAGGGCCAUGAUUCUUUGAAGACGACCCGGGACCUGACACUAAGCUCUGCUGACAGCACUAGCUCACCUGUGCCUGCCUCCUGACCUUCAGGGCCAGCUCCUGACUGGCUGCCUCCACCUGCAGAAGCCCACCUGGCCUGGGGCCCUAGUGCGCUCAGAGCUGUGGGGAUGGGGACAAGUGUCUCCAGUGCCCAGGGAGGCUGAGCGAGCUGCCCGAGGAGAAAUGGGGCAUUCGUGGGGCAGCCCUAGGGCCUGGGUGCCCUGUGCCAGCCGGGCUCUGUCUGUGAUGUCCAUGUGGCCCUGCCACCUUUGGCCACCCUGGGCUACGACGACCCAGCAGGGUCUCACUGAGGGGUCAUCUCAGGUAUGGUGCAGUGCCCUGAGGAGGAAGGGCCAAGGGCCAGCAAGGCUGUAAAAACACUUUGUGGAGGACCCAGGGCCUGGGGACUGGAAGCCCUUGUCCCCACAGGGGGUGGAUGUCACCCAACAUCAUGCCUCAAAACCCCAUGUUUUCCUGACCUCACCGGGGAGCGAACCAGGCCGGGGUCUGCUGUGUGACCUCGGGCCUGAGCACGUGCUGGGCUUCGGUCUCCCCACAGGGACAGGCAGCUGUGGGUGUCUGAGCACAGGCUCCAGACGAGUAGCUCCCUGCCCUACCCCAACCCUGGGUCCCGUGGGUCUGACCCAAUUCCCCCUCCAGACAGGGCGUCCCGCCAUCAGCCAUCCAUUCACUCCUUCAUCUACAAGAUGCUCUUCUGCAUCCCCAGGGUCAGUGCCCAGCAACCACCUGUGGAAUGAAUGAAGGAGUAGGCAUGAAUGAAUGAGUGAGGUUUGGAGGGGAGCAGCCCUGUGCACUGGGGUGUGAGUGGGGUUGGGGCUGUCCGUCUGUGCAUGUGUGCAUGCAAAAGUGUGUGCUCCCCUCCAGGCACCAGCUGCAGCCGCCCUCCCUUCCCCCACCUCAGCCCCCCCUAAUUUAUGCCACUUGCUGGUCCCCCGCCUGGCAGCAGCUUUGUCCCCAGGCGGAUUCCCAACGGCCGCCUUUGGGAAGAAAGGGCCCUUCUCUGGCUGGUGGUGAGUCACCAGGAGGGGCUGGGCACACACAAAGGCCUCAGCCCCCCUCCCCACCCUGCUGGCAGCUGCCUCUUUGUCCCCAGCUCUCAGCCUAGGAGAGACCCCAAGAGGCCCCUCUGAGGCCUUGGUGAGGCCUGGGCUUCCUUCCCAGGAAGUGGAUGGAGUGGGGGAAGGGAAGGAAGCAGCCCUCUCCCCGGCUUUGCUCCUGUUAAGUCACCGCACCUGUCGAGGUGCAGACUCUACCCCAGAUGCCAUGCUGGGCCCCGUGGCAGCUGUGGGGCUCUCGGCCCAGUGCAGGGGUCUGUGUUCAGCUGUCUGUCUGGGUCCCCAGGUCAAGCCAGCAAGCUUGAGGGGUGGGAGGCUGCAGGAAGGGGAAGGGGAGCCUGAGGUGUUAGGAGGCAGCCCAGGCAGCGGCAGGCAGCUCAGCCCCUGGCCUGGAGUGGGCUCGGUCACGGGAGGGGCUCUGGGGGUGAUAUUCCUUACCCUCAGCUGCUGAAACCAGUAUCUCUCUGGAUCCCAUGACGCCUGGCAGGUGUAUUUGUGCAUUUGUCUGUGUGCAUACGUGUGUGUGGCGUGUGGUGGGGUGAGGGGCUGGCAGGCCUGGGCACCCCUGGCACUUCCCCAUUGGCUCUCAAGGAAACCCCACAAACCCAGCUGGGGAGCUCCUGUGGGUACCGUACUCCAUAGGGCAUGUGGGCUGAGGCUCAGAGAGGGCAAGUCAGUUUGCCCAAAGCCACCCAGCCCCCAAGGGGUGGGGCUGUGAGAAACCUGCCCCUCUUCUGCCUUCCUGCUUUUCCCAACUGCCCACAUGAAGGUGAGGUGAAGGCGGGUCACCUCCUCCAGACUGCACUAGGCAUCUCCUGUGCAGGGACCAGGGAGCCAGCCCAGUGGGGGUCAGCGGAGAUACAGCAGAGUGACAAAAGCUGUGAAAAGCAGCAGUGGGGAACCCGAGAGCGCAAAAGGGUGGCGACAUUGCCUGGUGGGCGCUGCAGCUGCAUUUAUCCAGCGCCUGCCCUCUGUCGGGCCCAGCACAGGGGGGAUCCAAACACGUUCCUGGACUGCAAGGAAUGUGCAGUUUAGCUGGGACCCCGGAAACCACCAUUAGAUCAGAGACAGGCUAGCUGCCGUCCUGGGAUGUCAGUCACUUAGGGCUGUAGGGUGGAGGCCGCCCAGUGGGACUGAAGGUGCUAGAGGGGGCACUGCGAGGGCAAAGCCCUGGUGGCUGGACCCAGGAGCUCCGUCGCCAUCUAUGGGACUCAAAGGAUUGGCUCAGACCUCCCUCGCCUGCCCGCAGAGCCCGCUGCCCCAGCCGCCAGCUGGCAGCCCUCAGGCCUGGAGCUCCUUAGCAGUCUCUCCACGGAGGGAGGAAGUGGAGCCCAAGGGAGAAAACAAAACCCCUCAUCUUGUCCCAGACAAACAGAGGCCAGGCUGGACACUGGCGACGGCCGCAGGGGGCUCGGGGCCCUGCCAGGUGUGGCCGCAAGCAGAGCCAGCCUCGCCCAGGCUGGGCUCGAGGUGGGGGUGCUGAACACAAGGGCUGGGGACAGGGCAGGGAGUGGAGGGCCAGGGUCCCACCAAAAGCUCUAAGCUCUGGCCAGGACCCCCUGGGCGCCCUGCACUCGGACCUGGGGGACAGGCCAGGAAGCGUGACCAGAGGAGGCAGAGGCAAGGGGGAGGUGGCCGGCCCGGAGAGCUGGGUCAGCCCAGGUGCAGGCACCCCCACUGGCCACCCUCUGCCUGGACUCCCAGCUCGUGGGCCUGGACCACAGAGGGUGCUGGGAGGGGGAGCUGGGCAGCCAGUGCACCUUGAUGUCCCUGCCAGGCCGCCGGGCAGGGGAUGGGGGUGGCCUGGGCCCCCGGUCCUCCCCCCGCUGAGAAGCUUCUCCUCGGUUGCUUAGUGGCCGGAAUGUCCAUUGUGCCCGUAGCUUAGCAACAUGCUGCGGUCGCCCCCGCUGACCCUGCCCCGCAGCCGGCCGCUGGCAUUCCUCGGCAGGCCCACCCCUCCGCAGGCCGGGCCUCAUCCGCCUGAGUGUGUCCCAAGGCACAGAGCCGCCAGCAUCCUGUGUGCCCAGCACCCUGGGUGACUGAGGUUCCCAGCUCAGGCGGCCAUGGUUCUGCCAACUGCCACAUGCUGGCUACUUGCCCUGGUGGCACUCUUGGGAACCAUGAAAAGUCUGUGUUCAGAUCUUGUCACAUUCAGUGGUUCAUGCCCCUAUUUAGAUUCACUUUCCCGGCAAAUGUAAUGACAGUGACAGAAAGCAGCCGAGCUGCCUGCGGCCAGGUGGGGGAGAUGGACAGGAGGAGGCAGAGGGUUCACACAGGCACACACAUUGGUACAGGACUCCUGGAGCUGGACAGUGAAAUGGGUGUCAUCCAUUGUGUGUAAAUUAUACUGCAAUAAGAUGGAUUUCUAAGGAAAUAAAAGAAAGGAAAGAAGAAGAGUUGGAGAGAUUCUGGUUCCUCUGGCGUGACCGCUGGGCCCCCUACCCCCAGAGUUCCAGAUCCAGUAGUUCUGGGGCGGGGCCUGGAAUCUGCAUUUCCACUGAACUCACAGCGCACACUGAUGCCGCUGGUCCCGGGACCUCCUUUUGAGAACCUCAGCUCCAUGGACUUCACAAAUACCCGUGGCCAUAGUUUAGGAAUGGUUCUGUCACCCAGGACAUGAGAACCGCCUUGGUUUCUAAAGAUUAAAGAACCAAAACUAGUGUCUGGCACACAGGUAGCAGGAAAAAAACCCCCAUAUAUGUAUAUGUAUGUUCAUGUAGACAUAUAUGUAGCUGGGUAAGGGGUACUUACUAUGUUGUUACAAGGAUGGAUUUGGCACCCUGAGGUACCACUUGGUGGCAGUGUACCCAGGUGACAACAUGAACAUGGGCUCUGAGGACCUGUGACAUCACCCACCUCAGUCCUCUCAGGGCCUCUCUGGGAGGAGGAGGGUAAGACAUCAGGAAAAAAACUGGUGGGAAAUAAGAUGAAACAGGGUGAAGUUUUGUACACUCUUGCCAGAUGGGCAGUGAAUUUGGCUCUGAGCUUCCGAGUGGCUGAGGCAAAGAGGGAAGUAAGAUUAGGCAAAGUAGUACUUCUUCUUUUUGUGGAAGGUUAACUCUGAGCUAACAUCCGCUGCCAAUCCUCCUCUUUUUGCUGAGGAAGAUUGGCCCUGAGCUAAGAUCCCUGCCCAUCUUCCUCUGUUUUGUAUGUGGGACACUUGCCACAGCAUGGCUGAUGAGCGGUGCGGACGUCUGCACCUGGGAUCCUGGCUGGCGAACCUGGCGCUGCCAAAGUGGAACACGCAAACUUAACCGCUAUGCCACUGGGCCAGCCCCCAAACUAGUGCUUCCUGACCUUUAAUGCUGUUCAAAUCACCGGGGAAUCUGUCUAAAAUCCACCUUCUGAUUAGGAGGUCUUGGUGUGCAUGUGGGAGGGCACUGAGAUUCCAUGUCACCUAACAAGUCCUCCUGGAGACGUAGGUGCUGCCACCCACACACCAAAUUUUGAGUACAACUCAGUGUCCCUGGGAUGAAAAGCAGGCAGGAGAGCAGUCCCAUCCCUCCAGGUACCAAGAGCCCUGUGCAGCGUUGCAGCUCGCUGCGCCCAGCGCUCUCCGAGAGGAAGCCCUGAGGCCCCUCCGGGGCAGCGGCCCCAGGAGCUCCGCCUCUCUCAGCCAGGGUCAUGUCUGGGCACUUCAGCGGUCAGCCAAGACAGUGGCCAGCAGAGAGGGGACCGAAGCCCAGGCUGUGGGAGGACACUUGUGCUUCCCGGGGGAGGGGGAGGGCAGCUUGGCAGAAGUCGUCCUGGGAGGAUCCAUCAUGACAUUGCUGCAGAGGCAGGAAGUGGGGCUGCUGAGCCUUGGAUCAUGUUAAAGAAAAGGCCACCCGGCCUCUCUUCUUUCCCUGAAAUGCGCAUUUGACUUCAGGCAGUGAGGGACCUGACUCCAGAUGGUGUCCCAGGACACAGUGAUUUCUGUCCAUCUGUCCCGGGGCACCGGGACCUAAGCCUACGACUGGCUGUGCCUUGGCUGUGCUGGGCAGGCCGGGAGGAGGGGCCCAAGGCCCAUGGAGGGAACCGAGGGCUGAGGCGCAGGGGGUCCGCCUGUGCCCAGUGCUCCGGGGCUGGCCCACAUGGAGGCUUUGAGGGAG
ensembl:lncRNA